GAUGAACGCUGGCGGCGUGCCUAAUACAUGCAAGUCGAGCGAACAGACGAGGAGCUUGCUCCUCUGACGUUAGCGGCGGACGGGUGAGUAACACGUGGAUAACCUACCUAUCAGACUGGGAUAACUUCGGGAAACCGGAGCUAAUACCGGAUAAUAUAUUGAACCGCAUGGUUCAAUAGUGAAAGACGGUUUUGCUGUCACUUAUAGAUGGAUUCGCGCCGCAUUAGCUAGUUGGUAAGGUAACGGCUUACCAAGGCAACGAUGCGUAGCCGACCUGAGAGGGUGAUCGGCCACACUGGAACUGAGACACGGUCCAGACUCCUACGGGAGGCAGCAGUAGGGAAUCUUCCGCAAUGGGCGAAAGCCUGACGGAGCAACGCCGCGUGAGUGAUGAAGGUCUUCGGAUCGUAAAACUCUGUUAUUAGGGAAGAACAAAUGUGUAAGUAACUAUGCACGUCUUGACGGUACCUAAUCAGAAAGCCACGGCUAACUACGUG
rnacentral:rRNA from 1 species